UUUUUCCCAAACCACUGGGAUGCGAGUUCCUGAGAGGGGCAGUUGGCCCCAGGGGUCAAAGGGUUAAUGCUUGCCCUGCAGCAGACCCUUCUGGCAUGGGCUUUUUUGGGUAUUUUUCAGGGAUUAUCAUCACAGAGAAAUUUCCUCCCGUGAAGCCUGCAUUCACAGUUUAUGGAGCAAAACAAUCAGAAGAGCCUUUCUGGAUGCCUGCUUGUCGGGUGCUGUGAAGGUGCCAAACUAAACAAUGUUAUUGUUACCUCCUGAGACGUGUGCCUAAGAGAAGCUCUGGCUUUUAAAAACCCUCUGCAGUGUCACACGGGUGACCACCUGGACAGGACAGCUCUUCCUCCUCUCAUCCCGUGCCCGUUACUUCUCCUCCCGUGAGUGAAGAGCCUCUCCCUUUCUUUUUCUUUUUUUUUUUUUUUUUUUUGCUUUAAAUUUGUUCUCUCUCCUUUUGGAUAUUAACAAAUUGCAUUUAUUGUUUCCUUUCCAUGUCAUCCUGUCCCAUUAGGUCAAGGCAUUUGAGGGAAUGCAUCUGCAUUGGGAUGUAUGCUUCUGCUCAGGCUGCACGGCUCAAAUGGGGUGCCUGACAUAAGGCCACCAGGAAGGGUUUGGCUCCCAGCUCGGGUUCCCCUUGGCUUUUCUUCUCAUUUCCACCAUGGCCCUGCUGCAACCACAGUUGUUUGGGGAACGUUUGCAGAGGAAGAGCUGGGGUGAAGGUGGAUUUUUACCAAUCCCAGAGACAUUGUGAGGAAGAGCUCGGUCGUAAUGGUGUUAAGGCAGCACAGGUGUUGCACCAGUAAGGACUGGAAACCUAAGGGAUGGGUCCUGCUCCGAUGCUCACAGCCCGUGGGGGUGCCAGCAAGUGGAUCCAAAUUGCCCUCGGAGGUGUGACGAGUGCCAGAAGGGAGCUGCCAGAAACCAACACGGGCAGAAGCUGGGACCUCUUGGCCAAGGUACUAAACCUUCAAAAAUGCAGAGCCACAGCUGUGCAAUUCAAGAUGAGCUGCAGCGUCUUUUCCUGCCACUGUUAA
rnacentral:lncRNA from 1 species